CCUACGGGAGGCUGCAGUGAGGAAUAUUGGUCAAUGGACGCGAGCCUGAACCAGCCAAGUAGCGUGAAGGAUGACUGCCCUACGGGUUGUAAACUUCUUUUAUAUGGGAGUAAAAUGUUCCACGUGUGGGAUUUUGUAUGUACCCUAUGAAUAAGGAUCGGCUAACUCCGUGCCAGCAGCCGCGGUAAUACGGAGGAUCCGAGCGUUAUCCGGAUUUAUUGGGUUUAAAGGGAGCGUAGGUGGAUUGUUAAGUCAGUUGUGAAAGUUUGCGGCUCAACCGUAAAAUUGCAGUUGAAACUGGCAGUCUUGAGUACAGGAGAGGUAGGCGGAAUUCGUGGUGUAGCGGUGAAAUGCGUAGAUAUCACGAAGAACUCCGAUGGCGAAGGCAGCUCACUGGACUGCAACUGACACUGAGGCUCGAAAGUGUGGGUAUCAAACAGGAUUAGAUACCCUUGUAGUC
rnacentral:rRNA from 1 species